CCUGACCCUUGGACCCUUUUUAUAUUUUAUAUUUCCUUAACUCCAAUUGUUUUUGACCUAGUUGCUUCCUUCCUCCCCUCUUAUUUCUGUUUCAUUUAACCUCAUUUUCUCUCUGGUUUUCUUCCAAAUUCUCCUUUCCUUUGUUUAUUUCCGGCUAUGGCUUCACAUUGUUACCUAUAUCUCGCCAUCCUCAUCCUUUUAGUCGCCAUUGACGUUAACAGUUUGGCUUAUGAAUUCGAUGUACAGUAGUUGAAUUGGUCGAUCAUUGAAUCGAUGUUUAGAGGAAGCAAGAUAUGGCCCAUCAGGAUGCUCAACAACAGGCUGAGACUAUGAUGCAAAUUCUCUAACGAGUUCAUCAGAACAUUGUGAGGGCCAAUCAAAGAUACAAACUCAAGGUUGAUGAUAAUUACAAGGUGGUGUGGUGUGGGAUAUUAAGAUAAUAUUGUACUCCCUCAACACCAAUAUAAAUGUCCCGUUUGCUUGGGCACGGAUAUUAAGAGUGGUGUGGGAUCCAUCAAAAAGGUGGUAGUUGGGUAAGUAGUGAAGGGUAAUUAGUGAAGGAUAAGUAGUGAAUGGUAGUUGGGUAAAUAAGGUAUAUGGGGUAUAUAUUCGUAAUUACUUGUGUGAACUAAGAGUAUUUAGGUAAAAAAAAGAUUGACAAAAAUAGAAAUGUGACAAUUAAUAUGGUUUUGCCAAAUAAGGUAAUGUGACAAUUAUAUUGGUGUGGAGGGAGUAUAAUAUAACUUCAAGUUUUAAAAUAAAUAAACCCAAUCCUUAAAGUUCGCCACCCCUUUUCAUUUUUUCGCCACCCCCCCUGCCCCCUAAAAUUACGUAUUUGCCCCUGUAGUUUAAAAAAUUACAAAAAUGCCACUCCUUACAAAUUUCUUAUUUAUAAUAAUAAUAAUAAUAAUAAUAAUAAUAAUAAUAAUAAUAACAACAAUAAUAAAAUUAAAUAAUAAUAAUAAAUAAAAUUAAUAAUAAUAAUAACAGUAAUAA